CACGUAGGGCGCAAGCGUUGUCCGGAAUUAUUGGGCGUAAAGAGCUCGUAGGCGGUCUGUUACGUCUGCUGUGAAAACCCGGGGCUUAACCCUGGGCUUGCAGUGGAUACGGGCAGACUAGAGGCAGGUAGGGGAGAAUGGAAUUCCCGGUGUAGCGGUGAAAUGCGCAGAUAUCGGGAGGAACACCGGUGGCGAAGGCGGUUCUCUGGGCCUGUACUGACGCUCAUGCACGAAAGCGUGGGGAGCAAACAGG
rnacentral:rRNA from 1 species